UGUGGGCAACCGGCUGCGGAAACAACAAACUCUGAAUCUUUUCAAAUGAUUGACCAGCAGUCAGGAUUGCAUUAGAAAAUGCCCAUUUAAUUGUAUUGUUAUACAAUAUUUUUACAAUGUGACCAUGUCAAAAGUCAAAGUCUGCUUUAUUCUCAAUCCCUUCAUAUGUCAAGACACACAAAGAAACCGAAAUUCUGUUUCUUCUAUCCCACGGUGGAAACGGAAUUUCCAUCAUCAUCCUGGAAAUAGGUGGCAGUCGGUGUCCUAGAAGAUAAACGGACGUCAAAAGAGAAAUAUUGCUUCUUGUCGCUUGAAAGAUGUGUCACCUCAGCCUUGAUCAAGCCAAUGUAGACCUGGUCUCCGGUUCCCCAGUUUGCCUGUGUCUCCCAGACUAGAUCAGAGGGAGGAUUGUGGUUUCCGCCAGCGCCAGCCGCCCAGAUCUGAUCAGCAUGGAUGAAUUCUGCGGGAAAUUUGAAUGCGAUGGGAUCAGAAGCUCGAACCUGGCGCUCCACCUGCCAGUUCCCCAAAUUCUGAUCCUAAUAGUUGAAGUUGAUCUCAACAGGUUAGUCGUUACUGGAAAAUGUGCAAAUUUCGUAAGAUGUGCGAUGUUGCACUGUGACACAUCCACUGACCUCAUCUCCUUCAUUGUUGAGUUGGACAUAUUUGCUGUCCUGGUCCACAUCCGCGGUGAAGUGCCACCCAGGAGAGGUGAGGAGAGCACCAGCCACAGUGCUUCCGGCGAAGUUCAAAGCCUCGCUGUCAGUGUCGGGACGCUUCCUUUUCCCGCUGGCCGACGUGGUCGAGGAGCGACUUCCUGACAUGCUUGUCGACGGUAGACUCUGGGAAAAGCGUGUCCUGCGGACAAACGUGGAGACAUGAAUUGCUAUGACAGUAAAAGUUGUGCUGAUACAGAUUCUAAGGUCCAAAUGAUAAAUGGUGAAAUCGGUGACUGGCGAGCGCCUUCCAGCUGAACCCGACAGGCAUAGUAGAAGAGUUUAAUUUGAAGUUCAUGCUGGCUUCGCAUCUCCAUCAAGGCGUCGGCCCGUUUGGGUUCAUAAUCUUCCUGGCGGGCGUUUUCCAACUCCACCAUGCGAGACUCGUGCCGGCGUUUGACCUCGCGCAACUCCUACGUGAGACCUUCUUUUGAAUCUCCAGCUCCUCUUUGAGGGUAUUAAUGCGACUCGCUCCUUCCACCCUCCUGAGAGCCUCAUCCAUCAUCCCCUUUCGGCCAUUGGCCAACCUGGUCUCGAACUAAACGUGGCAACAACUUUAACACAAUCAUCACGGUAAUUUAAUCGUGAUUUGAUUCACCUCGGCUUCCAAAUCUUUGCACCUCUGCCGCGCUCCUGCCAGAUCGGAUUCUUUCUUCGUGUUCCUGAGAUGACAGAUGUACACAUAAAUAUGAACUAAGAUUAGUAUAAAGUGUAGCAGUGAUAAAGUAUGUAAACAGUGCAGGAAACAAAAACAGUAUUAAACCCUCGACGCAGUCAAAUGUGCUAUUUAUAUUGAUGUGCGACUAUGGGAUGGUUAACUGAAAGUCCAAUUGAGCUGCAAUUAGUCACGAGGAGGAUUUUCCUUGGGGUAUGGCCCCAGCAGCAAAGCAAUUAUGUCAGCACUAAUAUCCAGUAUCCAUUUUGUUGUUGGCAUAUUUUUGAUAAAAUGGCCGGGCCUCACCUUUC